CGUAGGGUGCGAGCGUUAAUCGGAAUUACUGGGCGUAAAGCGUGCGCAGGCGGUUAUGCAAGACAGGUGUGAAAUCCCCGGGCUCAACCUGGGAACUGCACUUGUGACUGCAUGACUAGAGUGCGUCAGAGGGAGGUGGAAUUCCGCGUGUAGCAGUGAAAUGCGUAGAGAUGCGGAGGAACACCGAUGGCGAAGGCAGCCUCCUGGGAUGACACUGACGCUCAUGCACGAAAGCGUGGGGAGCAA
rnacentral:rRNA from 1 species